rnacentral:rRNA from 1 species
AACGAACGCUGGCGGCAUGCCUAACACAUGCAAGUCGAACGAGACCUUCGGGUCUUGUGGCGCACGGGUGCGUAACGCGUGGGAACCUGCCCUUAGGUUCGGAAUAACUCCCCGAAAGGGGUGCUAAUACCGGAUAAUGUCUUCGGACCAAAGAUUUAUCGCCUUUGGUUGGGCCCGCGUUGGAUUAGCUAGUUGGUAAGGUAAAAGCCUACCAAGGCAACGAUGCAUAGCUGGUCUGAGAGGAUGAUCGGCCACACUGGAACUGAGACACGGCCCAGACUCAGACGGGAGGCAGCAGUAGGGAAUCUUCCGCAAUGGGCGAAAGCGUGAAGGAGCAACGCCGCGUGAGUGAUGAAGGUCUUCGGAUCGUAAAACUCUGUGAUUAGGGAAGAACAAAUGGGUAAGGAACUAUGCACGUCUUGACGGUACCUAAUCAGAAAGCCACGGCUAACGACGUG